rnacentral:rRNA from 1 species
UACGUAGGCAGCGAGCGUUGUUCGGAGUUACUGGGCGUAAAGCGUGCGUAGGCGGUUGUCUAAGUCCGUGGUGAAAUCUCUAAGCUUAACUUGGAAAUUGCCGUGGAUACUAUAAGUCUUGAAUAUUGUGGAGGUUAGCGGAAUAUGUCAUGUAGCGGUGAAAUGCAUAGAUAUGACAUAGAACACCAAUUGCGAAGGCAGCUGGCUACACAACUAUUGACGCUGAGGCACGAAAGCGUGGGGAUCAAACAGG